CGGGAUUUCUGGAAAAUCAAAUGUUUUCCUCGUUUCACCAAGGGUUAUUCUUUAUCUAUUGCGUUUGAAAGAAUUUUCUUAGUUUUCGAUAGAUUUUAGAUGAUUCAAUGCACUUUUUAAAAGCCUCUUCAAGGAUGAGAUGCAGAGGUUUACUGAUAGUUGGAUCAGGAAGAUUUGUUAUCAUUGAUCUGCGAUGACCAUUUUGCUUACACCUCACAGAACCAGGAUAAGGGAGUGGUGCAGAUCUUGUUUUCUCCUUGGAUAUACAGUCAUUGUAGAAAAGUACCAAGUAUGAAAGAUGCAAGUAUUGUACUGAAUUACAAAUAUGCUCCUCUGCCUCUGUUCCUGGAUGUUUGAUUGUGUAGCUGAGUUCAAUGAGAUAAGUAUUGAUACAGCUGAAAACUGUAUACAUUGUUUACAUUGGACAUAAUGUGCACCAGAUAAGUUUCAACUUUUUGUCUGUUGGGUACUUUAGUGUUAUCAAAUGAGUUGAUAAUGUAAAUUGGCCACCAUAAAGAGUUUAUAUCAAAUGAGUUGAUAA